GGAGAGGUGGCCGAGUGGUUGAAGGCGCACGCCUGGAAAGUGUGUAUACGGAAACGUAUCGGGGGUUCGAAUCCCCCCCCCUCCGCCA
rnacentral:tRNA from 1 species